UAUGUUCGAUAAAACGCCUAUCAGAGGGCGAAUUUCGUUUUGUUUCGAAAUUCGAUUCCAUUUGAUUAUAUAUCGUAAAAUUAUAUUUCCACAUGUGACAAACCUCUUUUCGAACACUAAACCUUUCAUUUAUAAUUUCAAUUUCCGUUCAUGUUAUCUUACUCCUUUGAAUAAUUUAAUUUUAAAAACUCCUUCAUCUCUUUGCUUGCUAAUUGUGUUUCGUCAAUUUUAAUAUUCUAAAUCCUUUUGUGUUCCAUCCUGACCUAUUUGCAUACCUCUGUAACCGUGAUUGUCGCCUAUGUGAGCCUAUCUGAAUUUAACCUUGUAUAAACCUGUCUUCUAAAUAUAAUUAUAUAUUCUUUACAUGUUCAUUUUUUUUUAGUUUGCUUAUAGAGAAUCGCAUGUCUCUAUUUUAGGUUCCGACGAUUGAUUUUCUGUGCAUUUUCGACUGGAUAAUUCCUCAUAUUUGAGGCUGCGUUAAGGUAAGCGACCGGACACCCGUUACUUUUUCGUAAAGUAAUUUAGGAAAUACUUUGAUUGUGUGAAAAUCUUUAUUUUGUAGAUUUUAAAAUUAAGUGUUAAGCGUAUAUUAAAUAUUUCUGUAAACUGAGUUUCAACUAUGAUAGAAAGGUUUUUUUAACAGAAGAAUUUUGAAAUUUGAUAAUAUGUUCUGUAAAUUAGUGACUGGAUAAUUUUGAAUUAUAAUGUCUAUUGGUAUUUUGCUAUGCUAAUGUUGGCCAUGUCGACAUGUAUUUUGUUAUAGAAGCGAGCUUCGUCUUUGUAUUGCGCCUUCGGGUGCUUGCGCCUAUCCACGCCUCUGUUUUGUUUGCGCCUUCGGGUGCCUUUGGAUCUCGCCAACGGAUCAUAUGAUAUAGUUAGUUGCCGGAGGCUUAAUAUUUAUUUCGUUUAUUGCUGAAAGAGAAAUGCUUGGUAAAUUUAUAGUUUCAAUCUGAUCUAAAUUUUUAGUUUUGAUAAAUUCUUGUUUUCUGAGAUUUUGCAAAUUAAAAACCAGUCGCUUGAAUUAGUCUUCAUAUUCAUUUAUUUAUUUGUAUUGUAUGCUUAAUCCGACUAAUGUGGUAUAUGGUUGCUUACCCAAGUACUGAGACUGAUUCGCAAGGCAAGGCCGGGACCGAGUGAACGUUAGACGUAGCUAGAUUUGAUUUUAGCCUCUUUCGUCUCAUGUCUAUUGCAUCUAGAUGUGAAUUUUGGACUUCGUAAAUAAUCAUUUAUUUAUAUGCUUCUACUUUAUUAUUUCUUCCUACCCACAUUGUUAUUUACAAUACCUGUUAGACCAAAUUUUGUUUGUGUUACAUAAUAAACUUUAGUUCUGCUUAUAUGAUAUUUCAUCUGAUGCUAGUUGAAAUUAAAUUGUUAGUCUCAUCUUUUGACUAUUUGGAUUGAAUAGAAACUUUUGUGAUCAUCUUUUGCAUGUUAUCUGUCUGAUUCUAUGGCCUUACAUAUUUACUAAUCUAGUAGAUAUGUGACAUCUGUUAUGCCUCGGGUUUGGAGCGUGACAGAAAUUAUGGUAUCAAAGCAAGGUUUAAGAUCUAUCAUAAAAUUUUUUAGGUCUAAGACCGUGAGAGCUUAUUAGGACGUGUGAGGAUGGAUAGAAGUAGGCGCAUAUUUGAUUCUAUUUGAUUAUUGAUUAUAGUUUUCGUUAAUAUCUCGCAUUUAUAUGUUUGUGAUCCUCUCUCUUGCUAAGAUGGUGCAUCCGUCCUGUUGUGGCAACACCAACAAUGAGUAACCCAGGAACCUACCUCCAGCUGGAUAUGAGUAACCCAGGAACCUACCUCCAGCUGGAUCCGGAGAUGCAGAUCUGAAUGCCACUUUAGCCUCACUCUUGAAUACUACAUCCGUGGCAACUGUUCCACCUUAGAUCACUGUUCCACCUACUAUCCAAAAUCAGCUACAGUCAACCAUAGCGCCUCCAACGAACCCUUCGGCUUUUGCUCCAUCUCUGCAGCAGACUAUUAGUACGGGGAUGCCUUCGACGACUGUUCCCACUACCUUUUCAUUUUCGCCGUCGACUGCACCUCCUGGUUUUGUUCCACCGCCGCCACAAACCACUAUUCCCACCCACUCCGCUACUUUACCGUAGAGCACCACGAUGGAUCCCCUGCUCGCUACCCUAUUACAAGCUGUUGUCGAGCUAGUUCAGACUCAGCAACAAAAUUUACAGCAGAAUCCAACUCCUAGUGCCGCUGAGUCAAGUUCCAGAGUUUGAGAGAGGAGCAUCAAUGAAUUUAAGAAGUCUGCUUCUCCACCUUUUUCAGGCACUACAAACCCGAAAGAAGCGAAAAAUUGGAUCAAAGAGAUGGAAAAAGCAUUUACGGCCAUACAGUGUACCGAUGAGGAGAAGGUCAGAUUUGGGACAUUCAUGCUUUAGAGCAGAGUGAAUAAUUGGUGAGAAAGCGAGUUGAGGACCCGCGGUAGCGAUUUAACAGCCAUUUCGUGGAAGGAUUUUCGAUCAGCGUUUUAUGCUAAGUACUUUCCAAGGAGUAAACUCUGCCAGCUCGAGAGGCAAUUUCUAGAUCUAAAGCAAGGGUCGAUGUCUGUGGAGUACAAGGCCGAGUUUGAUCGACUCUCUCAGUUUGCCCCGAAAUUGGUGGAUGAUGAUGAAUCGCGGGCCAAAAAGUUUGAAGAAGGGCUGAAUGGAUAUAUUCGUAUUGGCGUCGCGCCUCUACACCUUGAGACAUACGACGAGGUUGUUUCAAAGGCAAAAUCCUUGGAUUUAGUUUGGUGGCAGACUUAGGAGGAGCGCCAUGCAAAUCAAAAGAAGAGAAAUAAAGAUUCUUUCAGAAAAGAAGAUCGAAAUGCAAGAGGGUCAGACAGAUCUAGUGAUUCCGGAAGGUCGUGUAAUACGCCAGCUCCUCAUAGUGGACCACCAAACUGGGAUCAGAAGCCGAAAUGCUCAGUUUGUGGAGGGUCGCAUAAGGAUUCAGACUGUAGACAUUUGACUGGCGGUUACUUCAGAUGCGGCGAUUUGAAUCACCGGAUAGCUCAGUUCCCUCUGUUGAGCACUAACGUUGGCACUAGAUCCAAGCCUCAAGAGAAAUUUACUGCUUCAGCCGGUCGUGAUCGUGCCCCUCCUACUGGUCAGUCUAGAGGUGGAAGACCUCGGAUGCAGAGGCGUGUCCAAGCUCUCUCCCAGCAGGAUGCCUAGGCAUCUAAUGCCGUGGUCUCAGGUAUUCUACCUAUAAAUUCUGCUUUUGCUCGUGUCCUCUUUGAUUCUGGAACUACACAUUCUUUUGUAUCUUCUACUUUGGUUAGAAAGUCUCUGUUACCUUCUAAACCUUUGGAUUAUACUUUAUGUGUUGGUACGCCUUUGGGGGAGGAGUUUGUGAUUGACCGAGUUUGUAGGAGCAUGGUCAGAGUGGAUAAUAGGAGCUUGUUGGAAAAUCUCCAUGUUAUGGACAUGCGAGACUUUGAUGUGAUUUUGGGGAUGGACUGGCUUUCGUCCCACUUUGCUACUUUGAAUUGUCGGGAGAAACGGGUGGAAUUCAACAUUCCUGGAGAGGCAGAUUUUGCUUUUCUUGGGAAUGGAGCUUAUACCCCACUUCCGAUCAUUUCUUCCUUGCAGGCUACUUGUCUCUUAAGGAGUGGCUGUGCCUGAUUUUGUGGCUCUGGUGAAAGAUCUGAAUUUAAAUACUCCGAGAUUAGAAGACAUCCCGGUGAUAAAUGAAUUUCUAGAUGUUUUUCUAGAGGACCUCCCUGGGCUACCGCCAGAUAGGGAGAUUGAAUUUUGUGUUGAUUUAGCUGCGGGAACAGAUCCAAUUUCGAAGACGCCUUAUUGGAUGUCACCAAUUGAGCUCAAGGAACUACAAGUGCAACUUUAGGAACUUCUGGACAAAGGAUUCAUCAGACCAAGUGUCUCUCCUUGGGGCACUCCAGUACUUUUCGUCAAGAAGAAAGAUGAUACUUUGAGAUUAUGUAUCGAUUAUCGCGAGCUAAACAGAAUGACUGUGAAGAAUCGAUACCCCUUACCGAGAAUCGACGACUUAUUUAAUCAGCUUCGAGGUACAAAAAUCUUUUCCAAGAUUGAUCUACGAUCAGGAUACCAUCAGCUGAAGGUCAGAGCCGAAGAUAUACCCAAGACCGUUUUUCGCACACGUUAUGGGCAUUACGAGUUCAUAGUAAUGCCUUUUGGAUUAACUAAUGCCCCGCCUGCUUUCAUGGAUCUAAUGAAUAGAGUUUUCAAACAUUUCUUGGAUAAGUUUGUGGUUGUCUGCAUAGACGAUAUUCUGGUGUAUUCCGACAGUCCAGCUGAGCAUAUAAAGUAUCUCAGAAUAGUUUUGGAAACUCUUCGACAAAGGAAGUUUUACGCUAAGUUUAAAAAGUGUGAAUUUUGGUUACAAAGCGUUUCCUUUCUCGAACAUAUUGUGUCUAAGGAAGGUGUUUCAGUAGAUCCUACGAAGAUAGAAGCAGUGAAAAAUUGGCCACGACCAAUCAACAUCAAUGAGGUUCGAAGUUUCGUGGGUUUAGCAGUAUACUAUAGAAGAUUUGUGGAAGGUUUCUCCCACCUUGCUGCACCAUUGACUCAGUUGACACGGAAAGGAGUUAAAUUUCAGUGGUCAGAUAAAUGCGAACAAAGCUUUUUGGAGUUGAAGAAAAGCUUAAUAUUAGCACCUAUCCUUACCUUGCAUGUUAGUGGUGAAGGAUUCACUAUUUAUAGUGAUGCCUCGAAGAAAGGAUUGGGAUGCAUCCUAAUAAAAACGACAAAGUGAUUGCUUAUAGUUCCCGAUAGCUGAGUCCAUUCGAGGUGAACUACCCGACCCAUGACCUAGAAUUUGCAGCGAUCGUCUUUGCACUGAAAAUUUGGAGACAUUACCUCUACGGCGAGCCUUGUGAGAUUUUUACCGACCACAAAAGUUUAAAGUACAUCUUCACACAGAAGGAAUUGAAUAUGAGACAAAGAAAAUGGCUAGAAUUGUUGAAAGACUACGAUGUGACCAUCAAGUAUCAUCCGAGCAAAACCAACGUCGUAGCUGAUGCCCUCAGCAGAAAAUCAAUAGGGAAUAUAGCGACAUUGGUUACUUCUCAGUGACAUAUUCUAGAGGAUCUCAGACGGCUCGACAUAGAAAUUCGAAUCCAUGGAUCUGAAGCUCAUCUGGCUAAUCUGCAAGUUCAACCUACACUGAUCAAUAGGAUCAAGUCAGCCCAGGCGAAUGAUAUACAUCUUCAGAAGACUCGACAUUUAGUGGAAUCAGGAGUACAAUCGGAGUUUAGAAUUCAUGAAGAUGGCUCUUUGAGAUUUAGGAACCGGUUAUGCGUUCCUAGGAAUCCAGAUCUUAAAUAAGAAAUUUUGAAAGAGGCCUACUAUUCGGGAUAUUCAGUGCACCCUGGAGGAACCAAAAUGUACAGAGAUUUGAAGAACGUCUUCUGGUGGAGUAACAUGAAAAGGGAGAUUGCAGAAUUCGUGGCUAAGUGUUUGACUUGCCAGCAUGUGAAAGUCGACAAGCAGAGAUCAGCCAGCUUACUUCAGCCUCUCCUAUUCCUAAGUGUAAAUGGGAGAGAAUAACUAUGGAUUUUGUUACUCGUCAACCUAGAAGUGAGAAGGGCAAUGAUGCAAUUUGGGUCAUAGUUGAUAGAUUGACAAGUCAGCGCACUUUCUGGCUAUAAAGACGGGUAUGACCUUGGAGAAGCUAGCGAAGCUCUAUAUUACACAGAUAGUACGUUUACAUGGUGUUCUAGUUUUGAUCGUGUCUGACCGUGACUCGAGAUUUGUGGCUCACUUCUAGAGAGGAUUACAUAAAGCUUUGGGAACUACAUUGGACUUCAGUACCGCCUUCCAUCCGCAGACCGAUGGUCAAUCCGAGAGGACGAUUCAAAUUUUAGAAGACAUGUUACGGGCUUGUGUAAUUGAUAUGAGAGACUCUUGGGAUCAUCACCUACCAUUGGUCGAAUUUGCCUAUAAUAAUAGCUUCCAGACCAGCAUACAAAUGGCUCCCUUUGAAGCUUUGUAUGGAAAGAAGUGUAGAUCUCCUCUGUGUUGGGAUGAUGUUGGUGAGAGAAAGCUACUUGGUCCAGAAAUUGUGCAACAAACUAUUGAGAAGAUUCAUUUGAUUAAGGAGCAUCUCAGAGCAGCUUAGAGCAGGCAGAAGAGCUACGCUGAUAAUUGAAGACGACCACUCAAAUUUGAAGUCGGAGACGAUGUCUUCUUAAAAGUGUCACCUUCAAGAGGCAUUAUGCGCUUUGGAAUCCGUGGGAAGCUUAGCCCUCGUUAUGUGGGCCCUUUUGAGGUACUUGAAAGAAUUGGUAACGUAGAGUACAGACUUGCCUUAUCGCCUUCUUUAGCUGGAGUGCAUAACGUCUUUCAUGUAUCUAUGUUGAGAAAAUAUGUCCACGAUCCGAGCCAUGUUGUGGAGCCGGGACCUUUGCAGCUUAGAGAGGAUCUAUCUUAUAACGAACAGCCGGUACGUACUGUGGACCGAAAAGAGUAAGUUUUGAGGAGACGAACCAUUCUAUAUGUUAAAGUCCAGUGGAGCAACCAUUCUGAACGAGAAACUACUUGGGAACUUGAAGAGCAGAUGAGGAAGAAGCACCCUCAACUCUUUGAGAGCUAACGUGUGUUAAGUUUAGAUGACUAAACUUCUUUUAGGAGGGGAGGGUGUAACACCCCAUAUUUUUAAACCUCUUGUUUUGACUCCUAUCUUUUUAAGUUUGGACCUUUUUGUAAAUUCAAAUCUUCAAGGGACUCGGCGGCAUAUUGUUGCCUAAUUAGUCCCUAAUUUAAUUAGUUCCCGUUCGUAGCCAACCCUCACCUGAUCUAUCUAUCUCUCUCCCUCGCUCGACCAUCUCUCUCCCCCUCACUGCGUCCAUACGACCUCUGCCGCUCCUCACGUGCAUGCGCGACCCCGUCCGAUCCCUACCGUCGUCGCCGUCAUCCGUAGUCGUAACCAUCGCCACUGCAAUCCUCAUCCAUCGAUAUUUUUGAUUCGUCGUCGUCGUUUCGUCUUCAAGAAGGUCCAUCCCUUUUUAUUUUCUCUACAUCUAUUCUUGACAAGAUCCAAAAUCCCUAUUCAUGGUUAUAUGAUUAUUUUGAACACUUAUCUCUUGAUGUUUGGGAUUAAAACCACUAAAAAUCUGAUUCGUUGUGAUUGUUUUUAUCUUUUAAACUGUCUAAUUUUAUAUCUUACAUCCUCCAUAAAAUUUAGUUGUGUAAACUUCGCACAUUAUACACAUUUUUGGGAAUGCUCGUUAUAUGUUCAAUAAAACGCCUAUGAGAGGGCGAAUUUUGUUUUGUUUCUAAAUUUGAUUCCAUUUGAUUGUAUAUCGUAAAAUUAUAUUUCCACAUGUGACAAACCUCUUUUCGAACACUAAACCUUUCAUUUAUAAUUUCAAUUUUCGUUCAUGUUAUCUUACUCUUUUGAACAAUUCAAUUUUAAAAACUCCUUCAUCUCUUUGAUUGCUAAUUGUGUUUCGUCGAUUUUAAUAUUCCAAAUCCCUUUGUGUUCCAGCCCAACCGAUUUGCAUAC
rnacentral:lncRNA from 1 species